rfam:Glossina morsitans morsitans, isolate Yale, WGS project CCAG01000000 data, contig: ctg10013228
AUUAGGAUCCCACCAGGCAUACAGUAGUAAUUGCAAGCAAUAAUAUCUAACAGUGGUACAUAAAGUAUGUUAGGGGAUAGUUUUAGUACGUAGGCGCUACGUAUAGUGAAUCGUACAUACGACUGGCACUGUGGCCACUAGUAUGUACGAAGAUUUUUGUCUCCGGCUC